rnacentral:rRNA from 2 species
UUGACCUCGGAUCAGGUAGGGAUACCCGCUGAACUUAAGCAUAUCAAUAAGCGGAGGAAAAGAAAACCAACCA